rnacentral:rRNA from 1 species
GACGAACGCUGGCGGCGUGCUUAACACAUGCAAGUCGAACGGAAAGGCCCUGCUUUUGUGGGGUGCUCGAGUGGCGAACGGGUGAGUAACACGUGAGUAACCUGCCCUUGACUUUGGGAUAACUUCAGGAAACUGGGGCUAAUACCGGAUAGGAGCUCCUGCUGCAUGGUGGGGGUUGGAAAGUUUCGGCGGUUGGGGAUGGACUCGCGGCUUAUCAGCUUGUUGGUGGGGUAGUGGCUUACCAAGGCUUUGACGGAUAGCCGGCCUGAGAGGGUGACCGGCCACAUUGGGACUGAGAGACGGCCCAGACUCCUACGGGAGGCAGCAGUGGGGAAUAUUGCACAAUGGGCGGAAGCCUGAUGCAGCAACGCCGCGUGCGGGAUGACGGCCUUCGGGUUGUAAACCGCUUUCGCCUGUGACGAAGCGUGAGUGACGGUAAUGGGUAAAGAAGCACCGGCUAACUACGUG